CACUGGAUGCAGCGGUUCAUCGAUCUGUUCCUGAAUUUUGUUUGUCUCGUAAAACAAACAUGAAUCGGUCGAUAAACCUCUGCAUCCAGC
rnacentral:pre_miRNA from 14 species